rnacentral:sRNA from 1 species
AUGUACCGCCUUGUACACGGCUGUUUCUGCGCGCUGUCCGUGCCCACCCGACAGCAACCCGCAACGUUUUGUUAGCC